rnacentral:rRNA from 1 species
GAGCAAUACCGCGUGAGGGAGGAAGGCUCUUGGGUUGUAAACCUCUUUUCUUAGGGAAGAAAAAAAUGACGGUACCUAAGGAAUCAGCAUCGGCUAACUCCGUGCCAGCAGCCGCGGUAAUACGGAGGAUGCAAGCGUUAUCCGGAGUCAUUGGGCGUAAAGCGUCCGCAGGUGGUCAGACAAGUCUGCCGUUAAAGCGUGGAGCUUAACUCCAUAAAGGCGGUGGAAACUGUCAGACUAGAGUUCGGUAGGGGUAGCAGGAAUUCCCAGUGUAGCGGUGAAAUGCGUAGAGAUUGGGAAGAACAUCGGUGGCGAAGGCGUGCUACUGGGCCGAAACUGACACUCAGGGACGAAAGCUAGGGGAGCGAAAGGGAUUAGAUACCCCUGUAGUCCUAGCUGUAAACGAUGGAUACUAGGCGUAGUCUGUAUCGACCCGGACUGUGCCGAAGCUAACGCGUUAAGUAUCCCGCCUGGGGAGUACGCACGCAAGUGUGAAACUCAAAGGAAUUGACGGGGGCCCGCACAAGCGGUGGAGUAUGUGGUUUAAUUCGAUGCAACGCGAAGAACCUUACCAGGGCUUGACAUGUCGCGAAUCCCCUUGAAAGGGGGGAGUGCCUUCGGGAGCGCGAACACAGGUGGUGCAUGGCUGUCGUCAGCUCGUGUCGUGAGAUGUUGGGUUAAGUCCCGCAGCGAGCGCAACCCUCGUUUUUAGUUGCCAGCAUUAAGUUGGGCACUCUAGAAAGACUGCCGGUGACAAACCGGAGGAAGGUGGGGAUGACGUCAAGUCAGCAUGCCCCUUACGCCCUGGGCUACACACGUACUACAAUGGUUGGGACAAAGGGCAGCCAACUCGCAAGAGUGAGCGAAUCUCAUCAAACCCAGCCUCAGUUCAGAUUGCAGGCUGCAACUCGCCUGCAUGAAGGAGGAAUCGCUAGUAAUCGCAGGUCAGCAUACUGCGGUGAAUCCGUUCCCGGGCCUUGUACACACCGCCCGUCACACCAUGGAAGCUGGCCACGCCCGAAGUCGUUACUCCAACCGUCAAAGGAGGAGGAUGCCGAAGGCAGGGCUAGUGACUGGGGUGAAGUCGUAACAAGGUAGCCGUACCGGAAGGUG